rnacentral:rRNA from 1 species
CCUACGGGUGGCAGCAGUGAGGAAUAUUCGUCAAUGGACGCAAGUCUGAACCAGCCAUGCCGCGUGCAGGAUGACGGCUCUAUGAGUUGUAAACUGCUUUUGUACGAGGGUAAACCCCGAUACGUGUAUCGGGUUGAAAGUAUCGUACGAAUAAGGAUCGGCUAACUCCGUUCCAGCAGCCGCGGUAAUACGGAGGAUCCGAGCGUUAUCCGGAUUUAUUGGGUUUAAAGGGUGCGUAGGCGGUUUGAUAAGUUAGUGGUGAAAGGUCGGGGCUCAACCCCGGAACGGCCUCUAAUAUCGUUGGACUAGAGAACAGUUGCGGUAGGCGGAAGGUAUGGUGGAGCGGUGAAAUGCGUAGAGAUCAUACAGAACACCGAUUGCGAAGGCAGCUUACCAAACUAUAUCUGACGUUGAGGCACGAAAGCGUUGGUAGCAAACAGGAUUAGAUACCCCUGUAGUC